UAAAACACAUGUUUCUUCAAGAGUAAUGGGAACAUACGGUUAUUGUGCUCCAGAGUACCAAAGAACUGGCCAAUUGACAGUUAAAUCAGAUGUAUACAGCUUUGGAGUUGUUCUAUUAGAAUUAGUAACCGGAAGGAAACCAAUCGAGGAAGCCUAUGGAGAAGGCAAAGACUUGGUUUAUUGGGCAUCAACUCAUCUUAAUGACAAAGGAAGUGUUCUGAAUAUUCUUGAUCAAAAGGUGGUUUCCGAGCUUGUCCAAGAUGACAUGAUCAAAGUUCUGAGGAUUUCUGCCCUAUGUACGACUAAGCUUCCUAAUUUACGCCCCAGCAUGAAAGAAGUAGUAAAGAUGCUUGUUGAUG
rnacentral:misc_RNA from 1 species